rnacentral:rRNA from 1 species
GAGUUUGAUCGUGGCUCAGGACGAACGCUGGCGGCGUGCCUAACACAUGCAAGUCGAACGGGGAAGGGGAGCUUGCUCCCCGGACCUAGUGGCGGACGGGUGAGUAACGCGUGAGCAACCUGCCUUCAAGAGGGGGAUAACAUUCUGAAAAGGAUGCUAAUACCGCAUAACCUUCUUUUCCGCAUGGGGAGGGAAGCAAAGGAGCAAUCCGCUUGAAGAUGGGCUCGCGUCCGAUUAGCUGGUUGGAGGGUAACGCCCACCAAGGCGACGAUCGGUAGCCGGACUGAGAGGUUGAACGGCCACAUUGGGACUGAGACACGGCCCAGACUCC